GAUGAACGCUGGCGGCGUGCCUAAUACAUGCAAGUAGAACGCUGAAGGAGGAGCUUGCUCUUCUGGAUGAGUUGCGAACGGGUGAGUAACGCGCAGGUAACCUGCCUGGUAGCGGGGGAUAACUAUUGGAAACGAUAGCUAAUACCGCAUGACAACAGUUAUUGCAUGAUAACUGUUUAAAAGGGGCAACUGCUCCACUACCAGAUGGACCUGCGUUGUAUUAGCUAGUUGGUGAGGUAACGGCUCACCAAGGCGACGAUACAUAGCCGACCUGAGAGGGUGAUCGGCCACACUGGGACUGAGACACGGCCCAGACUCCUACGGGAGGCAGCAGUAGGGAAUCUUCGGCAAUGGACGGAAGUCUGACCGAGCAACGCCGCGUGAGUGAAGAAGGUUUUCGGAUCGUAAAGCUCUGUUGUAAGAGAAGAACGAGUGUGAGAGUGGAAAGUUCACACUGUGACGGUAUCUUACCAGAAAGGGACGGCUAACUACGUG
rnacentral:rRNA from 1 species